CUCAAUUAAUUAAAUAUUCUAUUUCUUUUUUUUUUUUGAACAAAAAACCCUAUUUCUUUAACUCUUCAACUUUACAUUUAGGGUUUCAUCCUAUUACUUAGCCAAAAAACCCAGCCGAACACAUCCCUCUUCUUCUUCUUCCUCUCUUUGCUUUUGAAAGUUGAUGACCUCCUGCGCACGAACCACCUCCAAGACGACGAAGCAACGACCAUCCCUACCCUCCCAAGGCCCAUCGACGCCGGACGACAGACGGACUGGAACCCCAAGCGAUCUUCUGCCUCACCGGACUUCAUAACCUUCUCCUCCGACGUUAUUGACCCACGGGCCUUUGUAACCUUCUCUAGGUAGAGGACAUUUUGGUUUGUGGAUGGAGCUUCGGGGUUCAUUGUCUAGGUGGACUAAAAUUGUUAUCUGAUUUGUAUUUUCAUGUUUUAUGUUUAGGUUUCUAAUAUUUUUGGACAUGUUUUACCCAAUUCUGUGUUCAUACCUACUGGAUUAUAAAUAUUGCAGUUAAGAAUUUUGUAUUGUAUUUUUUGUUAAAAUUUUGGUUUAAUGUUGUAAUUCACAUUUUAAUUUCCUUUCUUUAAAAAGGGAUGUAAUAAUAAUUAUGUGUUUAUUUCAUUA